rnacentral:rRNA from 1 species
GACGAACCGUACAAACGUUACUCGGAAUUACUGGGCUUAAAGGGUGCGUAGGCUGCGCGGAAAGUUGGGUGUGAAAGCCCUCAGCUCAACUGAGGAAUUGCACUCAAAACUACCGUGCUCGAGGGAGACAGAGGUAAGCGGAACUCAAGGUGGAGCGGUGAAAUGCGUUGAUAUCUUGAGGAACACCGGUGGCGAAGGCGGCUUACUGGGUCUCUUCUGACGCUGAGGCACGAAAGCUAAGGUAGCAAACGGG